rnacentral:rRNA from 1 species
UGCAGUCGAGCGGUAGCAGGAAGUGCUUGCACUUUGCUGACGAGUGGCGGACGGGUGAGUAAUGCUUGGGAACUUGCCUUUAGGUGGGGGAUAACAGUUGGAAACGACUGCUAAUACCGCAUAAUGUCUACGGACCAAAGGGGGCUUCGGCUCCCGCCUUGAGAGAGGCCCAAGUGAGAUUAGCUAGUUGGUGGGGUGAAGGCCUACCAAGGCAACGAUCUCUAGCUGUUCUGAGAGGAAGAUCAGCCACACUGGGACUGAGACACGGCCCAGACUCCUACGGGAGGCAGCAGUGGGGAAUAUUGCACAAUGGGGGAAACCCUGAUGCAGCCAUGCCGCGUGUGUGAAGAAGGCCUUCGGGUUGUAAAGCACUUUCAGUUGUGAGGAAAGGUUGGUAGUUAAUACCUGCCAGCUGUGACGUUAACAACAGAAGAAGCACCGGCUAACUCCGUGCCAGCAGCCGCGGUAAUACGGAGGGUGCGAGCGUUAAUCGGAAUUACUGGGCGUAAAGCGCACGCAGGCGGCUUGUUAAGCUAGAGGUGAAAGCCCCGCGCUCAACGUGGGAACUGCCUUUAGAACUGGCAGGCUAGAGUCUUGGAGAGGGGAGUGGAAUUCCAGGUGUAGCGGUGAAAUGCGUAGAUAUCUGGAGGAACAUCAGUGGCGAAGGCGGCUCCCUGGCCAAAGACUGACGCUCAUGUGCGAAAGUGUGGGUAGCGAACAGGAUUAGAUACCCUGGUAGUCCACACCGUAAACGCUGUCUACUAGCUGUUUGUGUAUUUAAUACGUGAGUA